CCUGAACGCUGGCGGCGUGGCUAAGACAUGCAAGUCGCACGGAGGUAGCAAUACCUCAGUGGCGAACGGGUGAGUAAUGAAUCGCUAAUGUGCCCCCGGACUCUGAGAUAGCUGGCCGAAAGGCCAGGUAAUAUCAGAUGAUAUAACCGAACCGCAUGGUUUGGUUCUCAAAGGUCCGCCGGUCUGGGAGCAGGCGAUUUCGUAUCAGCUAGUUGGUGAGGUAACGGCUCACCAAGGCGACGACGGGUAGCCGGCCUGAGAGGGCGACCGGCCACACUGGGACUGAGACACGGCCCAGACUCCUACGGGAGGCAGCAGUGGGGAAUCUUGCGCAAUGGGCGAAAGCCUGACGCAGCGACGCCGCGUGAGGGAUGACGGCCUGGUGU
rnacentral:rRNA from 1 species